GAACUACCAAACUGUCUUCCAAAGUGCCUGCAUCAUUUUGCAUUCCCACCAACAAUGAGUGAGAGUCCCUGUUGCUCUGCAUCUUUGUCAACCAUUUGGAAUUGUCAGCUUUCCAGCUUUUAGUCAUUCUAAAAGAUUAAGGAUCUCUUUGAAGAUGUCAUUAAAAUUAUAAACUCCAUCCCCAGAUCAUGAAGUUUUGCUUACCGACUCUGUCUUGUCAUGACUUGAAAUCAGUCAGUGGACUCUAUUAAGAGAAUUGAUACUUUCAAACUGUGAUGCUGGAGAAGACUCUCGAGACUCCCUUGGAAAGU